rnacentral:rRNA from 1 species
AGUGAACGCUGGCGGUAGGCCUAACACAUGCAAGUCGAACGGCAGCACAGUAAGAGCUUGCUCUUACGGGUGGCGAGUGGCGGACGGGUGAGGAAUACAUCGGAAUCUACUUUUUCGUGGGGGAUAACGUAGGGAAACUUACGCUAAUACCGCAUACGACCUACGGGUGAAAGCAGGGGAUCUUCGGACCUUGCGCGAUUGAAUGAGCCGAUGUCGGAUUAGCUAGUUGGCGGGGUAAAGGCCCACCAAGGCGACGAUCCGUAGCUGGUCUGAGAGGAUGAUCAGCCACACUGGAACUGAGACACGGUCCAGACUCCUACGGGAGGCGGCAGUGGGGAAUAUUGGACAAUGGGCGCAAGCCUGAUCCAGCCAUACCGCGUGGGUGAAGAAGGCCUUCGGGUUGUAAAGCCCUUUUGUUGGGAAAGAAAAGCAGCAGGUUAAUACCCCGCUGUUCUGACGGUACCAAAAGAAUAAGCACCGGCUAACUUCGUG